rnacentral:rRNA from 1 species
GACGAACGCUGGCGGCGUGCCUAAUACAUGCAAGUCGAGCGGACGGAUGGGAGCUUGCUCCCAGACCGUCAGCGGCGGACGGGUGAGUAACACGUGGGCAACCUGCCUGUAGGACUGGGAUAACUCCGGGAAACCGGGGCUAAUACCGGAUAACUCUUUCCCUCACAUGAGGGAAAGCUGAAAGAUGGCAUCUCGCUAUCACUUACAGAUGGGCCCGCGGCGCAUUAGCUAGUUGGUGAGGUAACGGCUCACCAAGGCGACGAUGCGUAGCCGACCUGAGAGGGUGAUCGGCCACACUGGGACUGAGACACGGCCCAGACUCCUACGGGAGGCAGCAGUAGGGAAUCUUCCGCAAUGGACGAAAGUCUGACGGAGCAACGCCGCGUGAGUGAUGAAGGUUUUCGGAUCGUAAAACUCUGUUGUCAGGGAAGAACAAGUACCGGAGUAACUGCCGGUAACUUGACGGUACCUGAACAGAAAGCCACGGCUAACUACGUG